rnacentral:rRNA from 1 species
UACGGGAGGCAGCAGUGGGGAAUAUUGGACAAUGGGCGCAAGCCUGAUCCAGCCAUGCCGCGUGUGUGAAGAAGGCUUUCGGGUUGUAAAGUACUUUCAGUGGGGAAGAAGGCCUGGGGGCUAAUACCCCCGAGGGAGGACAUCACCCACAGAAGAAGCACCGGCUAACUCCGUGCCAGCAGCCGCGGUAAUACGGAGGGUGCGAGCGUUAAUCGGAAUGACUGGGCGUAAAGCGCGCGUAGGUGGCGUGAUAAGCCGGUUGUGAAAGCCCCGGGCUCAACCUGGGAACGGCAUCCGGAACUGUCAGGCUAGAGUGCAGGAGAGGAAGGUGGAAUUCCCGGUGUAGCGGUGAAAUGCGUAGAGAUCGGGAGGAAUACCAGUGGCGAAGGCGGCCUUCUGGACUGACACUGACACUGAGGUGCGAAAGCGUGGGUAGCAAACAGGAUUAGAUACCCUGGUAGUCCACGCCGUAAACGAUGUCGACUAGCCGUUGGGUUCCUCGAGGACUUAGUGGCGCAGUUAACGCGAUAAGUCGACCGCCUGGGGAGUACGGCCGCAAGGUUAAAACUCAAAUGAAUUGACGGGGGCCCGCACAAGCGGUGGAGCAUGUGGUUUAAUUCGAUGCAACGCGAAGAACCUUAC